CCGAGAUUCCCCCAGUAGCGGCGAGCGAACGGGGAGCAGCCCAGAGCCUGAAUCAGUGUGUGUGUUAGUGGAAGCGUCUGGAAAGGCGCGCGAUACAGGGUGACAGCCCCGUACACAAAAAUGCACAUGCUGUGAGCUCGAUGAGUAGGGCGGGACACGUGGUAUCCUGUCUGAAUAUGGGGGGACCAUCCUCCAAGGCUAAAUACUCCUGACUGACCGAUAGUGAACCAGUACCGUGAGGGAAAGGCGAAAAGAACCCCGGCGAGGGGAGUGAAAAAGAACCUGAAACCGUGUACGUACA
rnacentral:rRNA from 1 species